AUUGAACGCUGGCGGCAUGCCUUACACAUGCAAGUCGAACGGCAGCACGGGUGCUUGCACCUGGUGGCGAGUGGCGAACGGGUGAGUAAUACAUCGGAACAUGUCCUGUAGUGGUGGAUAGCCCGGCGAAAGCCGGAUUAAUACCGCAUACGAUCUACGGAUGAAAGCGGGGGACCUUCGGGCCUCGCGCUAUAGGGUUGGCCGAUGGCUGAUUAGCUAGUUGGUGGGGUAAAGGCCUACCAAGGCGACGAUCAGUAGCUGGUCUGAGAGGACGACCAGCCACACUGGGACUGAGACACGGCCCAGACUCCUACGGGAGGCAGCAGUGGGGAAUUUUGGACAAUGGGCGAAAGCCUGAUCCAGCAAUGCCGCGUGUGUGAAGAAGGCCUUCGGGUUGUAAAGCACUUUUGUCCGGAAAGAAAUCCUUGGCCCUAAUACGGUCGGGGGAUGACGGUACCGGAAGAAUAAGCACCGGCUAACUACGUG
rnacentral:rRNA from 1 species